rnacentral:rRNA from 1 species
GACGAACGCUGGCGGCGUGCUUAACACAUGCAAGUCGAACGGAAAGGCCCUGCUUUUGUGGGGUGCUCGAGUGGCGAACGGGUGAGUAACACGUGAGUAACCUGCCCUUGACUUUGGGAUAACUUCAGGAAACUGGGGCUAAUACCGGAUAGGAGCUCCUGCUGCAUGGUGGGGGUUGGAAAGUUUCGGCGGUUGGGGAUGGACUCGCGGCUUAUCAGCUUGUUGGUGGUGUAGUGGCUUACCAAGGCUUUGACGGGUAGCCGGCCUGAGAGGGUGACCGGCCACAUUGGGACUGAGAUACGGCCCAGACUCCUACGGGAGGCAGCAGUGGGGAAUAUUGCACAAUGGGCGGAAGCCUGAUGCAGCAACGCCGCGUGCGGGAUGACGGCCUUCGGGUUAUAAACCGCUUUCGCCUGUGACGAAGCGUGAGUGACGGUAAUGGGUAAAGAAGCACCGGCUAACUACGUG